rnacentral:pre_miRNA from 1 species
AGGGGGAGGCUGGAUCCCGGGCUGUGUCCCGGCGCCCUGUGCUCCCUGUCUGCUCUGUUGGAUUCGCCCUCCCGCCCUGUAGCCCCUU